rnacentral:rRNA from 1 species
AGCGCAGGCGGGCCGGCAAGUUGGAAGUGAAAACUAUGGGCUCAACCCAUAAAUUGCUUUCAAAACUGCUGGCCUUGAGUAGUGCAGAGGUAGGCGGAAUUCCCGGUGUAGCGGUGGAAUGCGUAGAUAUCGGGAGGAACACCAGUGGCGAAGGCGGCCUACUGGGCACCAACUGACGCUGAGGCUCGAAAGUGUGGGUAGCAAACA